GAUUGACAGUCCAGGGAGGAGUCUGACAGUCCUUACGUUCGGCCGGAAGGAGCAAUGAUGUUGCCCGCCAACUAUUAUAGUGAUUUCCUUUGCAAUAGGAUCCAAUGGAUUCACUCAGAGCUCAUGUCGAUGAAUAUUGCAUCACCUCAGGACUGGGAAGUUUCGCCUUUGCUUUUCAUCCUGUAUAUUAAGAACUGUCGAUCAGAGCGUGGUGACGUAACAAAGUAUGCUCAUGAUUCUGCCAGACCUGCUGAGCUUCUCAGCAAUUUCUAUUUUUGUCUAUGAAAUGUUUCCCUAUGGCUGUAGCUGAAAGUGUUACCCUUUGGGAUAUCUCCCCUGGUACUGUUGUGUUUGUAGAGGAGACUUUGCAAGUGUACAGAGACUAUUGAAGGAAGAGGUUUUGAUGAUUCUCGAUGAAAUCUAUUUUUAAAGAAUCUUGUCAAAAAACCGGUAUUGUGAACAGUGGGAAUUGCCCAUUGUCUCAGUAUAACUGCUGGAUGCGCUGAGGGAAAAAGAUCUCUUAGAUAUGGGACAAACUGAUUCUUCAUUUGUUCAUGCCUCUAUAUUAAAAAACUUUCAACAGGA